CGUGUAGGCGGCCAGAAAAGUCCGCUGUGAAAACUCGAGGCUCAACUUCGAGCUGUCGGUGGAAACUUUCUGGCUAGAGUCCGGAAGAGGAGAAUGGAAUUCCUGGUGUAGCGGUGAAAUGCGCAGAUAUCAGGAGGAACACCCGUGGCGAAGGCGGUUCUCUGGGACGGUACUGACGCUGAGACGCGAAAGCGUGGGAGCGAACA
rnacentral:rRNA from 1 species